GAAUGAGUGGCAACAAUAUCUUCAGGGGUACCCACACAAGGGUGUCGCCCAGGAACAGGGCGACACCCUCGUAAAACGGGUACCGGAGAGGCUGACUCCAGCCUCUCCACAAAAACAUACUGACCCAACUGGAUCUUAUCACUAAGAAUAAGAUCAGUUUGGUCGUCAGGCAAACACACAUAAGUGGCAUGAACAGAAUCUGACACUUUUAUAUAAAACCCUUGGUUUUUAAAAAGCUCACCACCAGAUAAAGAUGGUACAAUGCUCACCACUUGUAACAAAGAUGAUCUGUGUUCACCACCAACUUUGACAUCAGUGUUCAUGUGUUGAAGCAGCUUUAACAACACACCAGGGACUAAAGUUGUCAUUUUUAUCAAUAAUUUCAAUAUGCAUCACUCAAAAAAUUAAUAUAAAACCAUAAAAAACCAAUAAGUUAACAGAAACCCAAGAUCAGGAUUCUUUGUGUGAGCUCAAGAAAGCAUUUAAUAAUCUGAAAAUUUUAAUUUACACCGACAAAAAAAAAUGUGAAUAAUAAAAAUAAUGAGAAUAAUAUUUAUAUUAGGUAUACCCACCAAGUAUUUUCAACUUAAUGAAUGGUGGGAAUAUGUAUAAUUUAUAUGGCGGCAGUUAAUAUUAAUAAGCAAUAAUGCAAUGAAACAGCAUACAUGAAGAAGAAGAAGAAGACAAAUGAUAUUGAUUGCAGUUGGUAAGGGAAAAAGGGAAGAUUGAUUAUUAGUUGAAGAGGGAUGAGUCUGCUUUUGGUAUACACAAAGAAAAAGAAUUAUGAAUUGGAGUGAUCUGAAGAUGGAAUGAAAGAAAGAAAGAAAGGGACCCAAUGAAGUGAUGGCUUCCAUCUUCUGUCGUCUGACAGUUUCUACUUUGUAACGUUGUGGAUACGAAUAUAGGAUAGCGGAUAGCUAUGAGUCGUUGAUGAAAACGAGUUAAAUGUAUGAUAAUGAUUGGUCUGUGUGGUUUGAAUGGAAGAUUUUACAUGGUUAGUCUUCAACUU
rnacentral:lncRNA from 1 species